UCUCCAUCUCACAUCUGCUCCAUGGCCGCCGCCCUCCUCAAACUUCCUGGCCGGCGCCGCCGCCCUAAAUCGUUCCGGCGCCGCUCACCCUCCACUCUCCCGACCUCCACUACUGGUCGUCUCUCACCUCCACCACCGCCGCCCGGGUCAACCUGUGUCCGCCACCGACGCCCACCUUUAAUGUUCGUGACUUCCACCGUCGCUUGCCUGCAGCUCCGACCCUUGCUGCAUCCCACCUUCGUCGGCCCACUCCACCCAACACGUCCUCCCUGGACGCGAUGACCGUGCUCCCUGCUCCAGAUCUGGGUAAGUCUGUUGUUGCACAUCUAGUAAACUGCCUGCUCCUCCUUGUCUGACGUGACAGCAGCGGCCUCCUCCUCUCCGUUUUGUCCAAGCCAGUUGAUCCAUUUUUCUGUGGUAAGUCCAACCAUGGUCAUCCAAAUAACGAAGUCAGGACGCGAUGACCGUGCUCCCUGCUCCAGAUCUGGCUCGAAUCUGACAUAUCAAGGAUCCUUUGUUGAAGCUGCAGCCACACUGGUACAACUUCUAUAUAUCGCCUCCCUUUACAAAUAAUUUUGGCAGUAAACGUUCAAUUUUAGAAGCAAGUUAGUCAUAUUUUAGUUAGCAAUGUAAGUAAUUAUUUGCAUAGUUGUGCCACUCUCUUUUAGGUAUUGUUUCUCAUCUUUAGAAGUCUUUGUAGUGGAAGGAAGGCAAGGCAAAAGCUAUCUCAGGUACCUCUCACACUUUGGAAAUAUACAUACUUGCCUUUAUGUGGCAAUUAUCUCUCAAAUUGUUACCUUAUUAUUUGUUGUUGUCCUUAUUUAUUUGGCAAAUUACUUAUUUAUGAUGAGGUAGUGUAAAUUGUUUUGAAACUAUCCACCAUCUAUCCCUGACGCUAACUCAGUCUAUCCUCAUAUGCACAGUGCCACUAAUCCAUUCCUCUAAUCUUCUCCUGAACACAUAUUUGGUCGCAGGUACCUUGUUGUUUGGAACAUGUCAUCCCUUGAGCUCGGCACCUGUUCGCAUAUGCCCUGUUCGAAGAGUGAGUCAGCGCGUGUCCGUGCUCUGUUUUAUGCGCGCGCGCGCGCGCGCGCGCGUGUGUGUGCUGAAGACUAUAAGGAGUACAUACCUCUUCUUUAUGAAGUUCUCGCAGGUCAGCAACAUGAGGUGAUUAAUGCACAUGCAUAUCUAUCUGAUUUGUGUGUUUCUUCCAUCAUGUAUCUAGACUGGCAGUCAUAUUCCUCAGUUACUCAAGGGUGUAUGGCAUGCUGGAUCUUCUUUGAGGGCAUGAUUUAGUUCAGGUCUUCUUGUCCAGUCUUUGGCACUUGUGCAUUGAAUCUGGAGCCAUUGUUUGCCCAACGUCUACCUAACCCCAUUAAUUUAUUUUACUUCCUUGAAUUACAAUCUUCACCCAUCAUGUUAGUUUAGAUGAAGCUGAAUUUACUAUAUAUCUAAAAUUAGGGGAUUAUGCAAUCUCUUAAGUUCUUGCCUUCUUGGUCAUCUUUUUAGAUAAACUGUUAUUCCGCUGGCUACAAGUAUACUCUGCUUUUCCAGAAAUCUUUAGUUCUUGUUCUGAACAAAAUCAUCUAUCCUUGAUUGGAAUCUUGAGAUUGCACAUUUUUCAUCAAGGCAAAAAGGGCAGGACCUCGUUAAGAAUGUCGUUCUAGUGGGCACAAGGUCGAACAUGAAGCUACCAGUGAGUAUUGUUUAAUCCUAUCCAUUAUUUUAUAAAGCACCAAGAUGUAGUAUAACAUCUAAUGGUUGCAUUGCUGCCAUAUGUCAUAUCUAAGAUUUACAAAGAAAAACUAAAUGAACAUCCUUUUUUAGUCCUUGAUUAGCUAAAUUAUCAUCAAGUGGACCAGAUUAUCUUUUGGAGCCACUUUAAAAUAUAAAAUAUAUGUUUCAUGGGGCUGUAGGAUAUAUUGUAUAGAUAUGCUAAAAGAUGAAACUUGAAAGAGUUAAGCGGAUAACAACUCAUAUGGUGAAAAAUGUUGGUCAUCAUCUCCUUCUCUUUCCAAUAUUAUUCCCGUUACUUGUGUACAUGACUUUGCAGGGAACACCGAGUUAUCCUCUGUUAGCUUGGAGGAUGGUGCUAUGGGCGACCACGUCGGCAAUGGCAACAGGGAAGGCAACAAUGAUGGUGAGAACAUGGUGGUAGCCUAAGGUGACUUAGAAACUUAUGAAGGUGUAGAUGAUGCUCCAGAUCAUGAACCAGUGGGCUUAGAAACAUGAGUCUUAUUGUUUUGGGUGGCGGUGGCAUGUAUGCGUACAACUGACAUGUUACUGCUGUUGAGCAAAUAAAACAACAGCAAUUAAAAUUUUCAGAUGUCA